AGCAGCCGCGGUAAUUCCAGCUCCAAUAGCGUAUAUUAAAGUUGUUGCAGUUAAAAAGCUCGUAGUUGAAUUUCGGGGCCAGUAGGUUGGUCGUGCCACUGGUAUGCACUGGCCUUACUGGUCCCUCCCUCUUGUAGAACCGUGAUGCCAUUAAUUUGGUGUUGCGGGGAAACAGGACUGUUACUUUGAAAAAUUAGAGUGUUUAAAGCAGGCUAACGCUUGAAUACAUUAGCAUGGAAUAAUGAAAUAGGACGAUCGAUCCUAUUUUGUUGGUUUCUAGGUAUUGACGUAAUGAUUAAUAGGGAUAGUUGGGGGCAUUAGUAUUCAAUUGUCAGAGGUGAAAUUCUUGGAUUUAUUGAAGACUAACUACCGCGAAAGCAUUUGCCAAGGAUGUUUUCAUUAAUC
rnacentral:rRNA from 1 species